CCAGUACGCCCACGAAAUAAUCUAGCAUAGGUAUAUGUAUUACAUCACAGAGUAAUGGAAAUUUAAUAGAAACAGGCUUCAAACACAAACGAACCGAAGAAUAAACAGAAUUCAGGACAAAGAUCCCACUUAUAUUUUGUACAUUCAGUUGGCUAAUAGCUAAUAGAUGCACAGUAAGAAAACAAAAAAAAAA
rnacentral:lncRNA from 1 species